rnacentral:misc_RNA from 1 species
GAUGAAGAACGCAGCGAAUUGCGAUAUGUAAUGUGAAUUGCAGAAUUCAGUGAAUCAUCGAAUCUUUGAACGCACAUUGCACCCUCUGGUAUUCCGGAGGGUAUGCCUGUUUGAGUGUCAUUAAUAUCUCAACACAGUCAAGUUGUUUGACUUGCACUGAUGCUUGGAUGCUGAAGGUUGCUGGCAAUAUUUGUCAGCUCCUUUUAAAUGUAUUAGCAGAAACCUAUGCAAAAAGCUGGCUUCAGUUUGAUAAGCACUUAUCUGUAUUGCUGUUGCUAGUGAAAUGCCCUUGUUUCAGCUUCCAAUUGUCCAAUCCUUUGGACUGCCUCUCGAGGUAAUUUAAUCUUGACACUUGACCUCAAAUCAGGUAGGACUACCCGCUGAACUUAAGCAUAUCAAUAAGCGGAGGA